UACAGAGGGGGCAAGCGUUGUUCGGAAUUACUGGGCGUAAAGGGCGCGUAGGCGGCCGCCUAAGUCAGACGUGAAAUCCCUCGGCUCAACCGGGGAACUGCGUCUGAUACUGGGUGGCUUGAAUCCGGGAGAGGGAUGCGGAAUUCCAGGUGUAGCGGUGAAAUGCGUAGAUAUCUGGAGGAAUACCGGUGGCGAAGGCGGCAUCCUGGACCGGCAUUGACGCUGAGGAGCGAAAGCCAGGGGAGCAAACGGG
rnacentral:rRNA from 1 species